rnacentral:rRNA from 1 species
AUAUGUAGGGUGCGGGCGUUGUCCGGAAUUACUGGGCGUAAAGAGCUCGUAGGUGGUUUGUCGCGUCGUCUGUGAAAUUCCGGGGCUUAACUCCGGGCGUGCAGGCGAUACGGGCAUAACUUGAGUACUGUAGGGGAGACUGGAAUUCCUGGUGUAGCGGUGAAAUGCGCAGAUAUCAGGAGGAACACCGGUGGCGAAGGCGGGUCUCUGGGCAGUAACUGACGCUGAGGAGCGAAAGCAUGGGUAGCGAACAGGAUUAGAUACCCUGGUAGUCCAUGCCGUAAACGGUGGGCGCUAGGUGUAGGGGUCUUCCACGACUUCUGUGCCGUAGCUAACGCAUUAAGCGCCCCGCCUGGGGAGUACGGCCGCAAGGCUAAAACUCAAAUGAAUUGACGGGG